GGGCCCGCACAAGCGGUGGAGCAUGUGGUUUAAUUCGAUGAUACGCGAGGAACCUUACCAGGGCUUAAAUGCAGAACGACCGGCGUGGAAACAUGCCUUUCUUCGGACGGACUGCAAGGUGCUGCAUGGUCGUCGUCAGCUCGUGCCGUGAGGUGUCGGGUUAAGUCCCAUAACGAGCGCAACCCCUAUCUUUAGUUGCCAGCGGAUAAUGCCGGGGACUCUAGAGAAACUGCCAGCGUAAGCUGUGAGGAAGGUGGGGAUGACGUCAGAUCAUCACGGCCCUUACGUCCUGGGCUACACACGUGCUACAAUGGCAAGGACAAUGAGCUGCCAACCCGCGAGGGUGAGCAAAUCUUCAAACCUUGUCUCAGUUCGGAUCGGAGUCUGCAACUCGACUCCGUGAAGUUGGAAUCGCUAGUAAUCGCAGGUC
rnacentral:rRNA from 1 species